rnacentral:rRNA from 1 species
UCAAAAACAUAUUCAUAAGCAGACCCUUCCUUUUCAUUUAUGAAAAGCCCUGCCCAGUGAAAUUUACUUCAACGGCUGCGGUAUCCUGACCGUACUAAGGUAGCGUAAUCACUUGUCUAUUUAUUGUAGUCCUGUAUGAGCGGGUAAACGAAUAUAAUACUGUCUCAGAAGAAGCCCUAAAAAUUAACCUUUAGAGUGAAAAGGCCUAACUAGUAAAGAAGGACAAGAAGACCCUAUAGAUCUUAUUUUCAUAAAUCCCCUCCUCUUUAAUUUCUUAUCUUUAUCUUUAUACGCUUUACAAAUCUUUCUAUUUACCAGGGUUUUAGAAAUUUGGAUGGGGCGUCCCGAGCACCCUUUAUUCUACAACUCCUUAUAAAUCCACCCGAGCCCCAACUCCCCCCUCACCUAACCUCAUUUUCUUUAUGAAUUACGACAACUAAAGUUACCUUAGGGAUAACAGGCUAAUUCUUCUUAAGAGCCCAUAUUCACAGAAGAGCUUGGCACCUCGAUGUUGGCUUAGGAUACGCUCUUGACGCAGCCGUCAAGUCAGCUCAGUUUGUUCAACUAAUAAUAUCCUACGUGAUCUGAGUUC